CUACGUGCCAGCAGCCGCGGUAAUACGUAGGGCGCGAGCGUUGUCCGGAAUUAUUGGGCGUAAAGAGCUUGUAGGCGGUUUGUCGCGUCUGCUGUGAAAGGCCGGGGCUUAACCCCGUGUAUUGCAGUGGGUACGGGCAGACUAGAGUGCAGUAGGGGAGACUGGAAUUCCUGGUGUAGCGGUGGAAUGCGCAGAUAUCAGGAGGAACACCGAUGGCGAAGGCAGGUCUCUGGGCUGUAACUGACGCUGAGAAGCGAAAGCAUGGGGAGCGAACAGGAUUAGAUACCCUGGUAGUCCAUGCCGUAAACGUUGGGCACUAGGUGUGGAGGACAUUCCACGUUUUCCGCGCCGUAGCUAACGCAUUAAGUGCCCCGCCUGGGGAGUACGGCCGCAAGGCUAAAACUCAAAGAAAUUGACGGGGGCCCGCACAAGCGGCGGAGCAUGCGGAUUAAUUCGAUGCAACGCGAAGAACCUUACCAAGGCUU
rnacentral:rRNA from 1 species